UACGUAGGGUGCGAGCGUUGUCCGGAAUUAUUGGGCGUAAAGAGCUCGUAGGCGGUCUGUCGCGUCGGUCGUGAAAACUUGGGGCUUAACCCUGAGCUUGCGGUCGAUACGGGCAUGACUGGAGUUCGGUAGGGGAGACUGGAAUUCCUGGUGUAGCGGUGAAAUGCGCAGAUAUCUGGAGGAACACCGGUGGCGAAGGCGGCAUCCUGGACCGGCAUUGACGCUGAGGAGCGAAAGCCAGGGGAGCAAACGGG
rnacentral:rRNA from 1 species